CCCUAUGGGGCAGUUGGACUCCGUCCUAUACGGUUGCUAUGAGUUGGAAUCGACUCGAUGGCAAUGGGGAUGACUUUGUAAAUAUUAAAGCGUAUUUGUGUGUGUGAUAGCUCCACAAUCCUACCCCCACAGGAACUGAGAAGUAACAAGGAGGAUGCGGUAGGGUUUUAGACUCCAGGAAGUAGAUAGCAUCGUACAUGCUUAGUGGAAUUUAUCUGCCAUCUUGCUGUGUUACCCAGUGUCGAAGAUGUGGUUAUGUCCUGUGGUUAAACUUCCAUUAUGCUCUUCACGAGGGCUGUUGGACAACUGGAUUUCUUCUUAACCAAGCAGUGAAAGGACAGUUACCAAAAAUCAGCAUUGUGUAUUGCCAAAAAAGCAAGUCAUUUCGUGAAACGAGAAAUGGAGACUUGGAGUCUACAUCUGUUAAGUGGAUACAAAUGUUAUACUAAUUUUUAACCUAUAGACAAUCCUAAAAAGUCAAAUGAUUCUCCAGUUCAUAAGUGUUUCAAGGCCAAAAUAAUGAAUUUUAAAAUUAAAACAGAUUUGAAAAAAUAUUUAAAUAAUAUAAAAACCAAAUGAUAUUAUAUCUAGUGCUGGGAGAAAAGCAUCUUGAAUGGCUGAAAUGAAGAUGUGGAUACACAGUAAUCCCUGUCAGGAAAAGGAUUUCAACAUGUGCCCAGUGGUGUAAGGCAUUGCCUUGACUUUAGCCUACCAGUUACAUUUGCUUAAAUGCGAAGAAUAUUAUGUAGAAAGGGAAACACGUAUGCACAGUAAUGUUCAGCUUUUCACGUCCUUUGGACUGGCUUUACCCCUUCCAACUCUUCUUUCUACCUCCUUUGCUACAGUAUAAGUGCUCCUUUUUUUCUCUGUCUGUCUUCUUUUAACUUUGAUGUAUUUUUUGACUCAUCGGCAUCUCUUAUAUUCGUCAACAUGGUAUGAUAGCGUUUAGCUUCAGUGAACAAAGCAGUAAUGUCUCUAAAGAUCAACUGCAAAUGAUUUAUUUCACUUCUCUGCCACUAACUACACUGAAGGAAUUCAAGUCCAGUUCAGCUUCACUUGCAGCACUUCUUCUCUGACCUUUCCCACCAGAGAGAGCUAGGUCAGCGCCCACAAGUCAAAGGGCACAGUCCUCAGACUGCUGAGUCUGCCCAAGAAGUCAGAUGGCAGCCUCAGGCUUGGGGUACCCCACAACACCCUAACUUCUGACCUGCUGGCUGCAAAUUUGGGGUUUUCCCACUACCCCUUCAGGAUGCCAGCCAUAAGCUUGGGGUCCCCAGGGCCCCCUCACUUUUGACCCACUGGCUCCUACUACUUCCUUAGGUUCGGUGAUUCACUAGAAGGACCCACCAAACUCAGGAAAGUGCUAUACUUACAAUUACAGUUUUAUUAUAGCAAAAAGGAUACAAGUGAAGAGACGCAUAGGGCAAGGUCUAGGAUUCCCGGCAUGAAGCUUCCACGUCCCGGAAGGGACACACUACCUCCCACGUGCAUCAAUGUCUGUCACCAACCAGGAAGCCCAGAGAACUUAUGUGUCCAAAGCCUUUAUUGGGUCCUCAUUACAUAGGCAUGACUGACUGAAUCAGCCCCCUCCCCUGAAACUGGCUAAUAUGUGGUGGGUCUUUCUGGCCUGGCCAGUACAAGAGGCACCUUGUAGCAUAAACCACCAAAUGUGAUCUGGAGGCCUCAUCAAAGACACUUCAACCAGUGGGGAAAUUACAAAGGUUUAGAGGUUAUCUCUCAGAAACAAAGGACAAAGACCAAAUUCUUUGGAUAGAGUUCAUCGUAAAUCCCACAAUGUCCAACUUAGAAUGGCAUUCUUUAAAAUGUGAACCCUCUUAAUUUAGUGCGUCUACAGAUAUCACUCUGUGAGUUCCCAGAAGGUUUGCUUGUUCUCUGCAGAUCCGGCAAAUAGUGAGAAGGAGCCCUUCUGCCAGUUGCUCCACAGCUCUGUCCUCUACAGCCAAGCUCCCUGCCAGCCUGCAGCUGCAGAAGUGUCACUUGGAUACUACAGCCUCAUCCUGAAUCGGGUGCAGGCUCUGCUUCACACAGUCUCCUCCCAGGGACCUAGGCUGAAAGCCACCACCCUCGGGAACAUCCCCUGUCACUGUGCUGGGAAGACAGCAUGCCAAGCUCUACACUGAUUCUUAAAGACUUUUGACCAGAAGUUUAUUCAAGAUGGAGGAGCUGAAGCUUAACAAGAUUAAGUAGUUUGCCAAAGUCUACGGUGAGUAAGAGCAUUUACACAGGAAGUCCUUAUAAGGAGUUGCCUGCCAGCUGCCCUUCCCCAGACCCAGAAUGCACUCCUAGCCAGGUGAACAGAACAGUCAUUCUGCUGGGUCAUGCUGAGCUCAUACCCUGUAAGUCUGACCACACUCCACAGAUCUGGGUUUGUCUGAAACCAGCCCCAAUCACAGCCAUGUCUGUCCCUAAUCCCAUGAGGGGCCCAUUUAGAGACUGAGCCCAUCAGGCUAC